rnacentral:tRNA from 1 species
UCCCUGGUGGCUCAGACGGUAAAGCAUCUACCUAAAAUGCAGGAGACCCGGGUUCAAUCCCUGGGUUGGGAA